rnacentral:rRNA from 1 species
AUCUGAUUGGCAUGGAUUAGGCAUGCAAGUCGCACGCUGUACCCCGCAAGGGGGAAAGUGGCGUAAGGGAGAGUAACGCGUGGGUUAUCUGCCUUCAGAUUCGGGAUAGCUGCGGGAAACUGCAGGUAAUACCGGAUAAUGUCUCCGGACCAAAGGUGUGAUUCCGUCUGAAGAUGAGCCCGCGUCCUAUCUGCUAGUUGGUGAGGUAACGGCUCACCAAGGCAGCGACGGGUACUGGGUGUGAGAGCACGACCCAGCUCACUGGGACUGAGACACUGCCCAGACACCUACGGGUGGCUGCAGUCGAGGAUCUUCGGCAAUGGGCGCAAGCCUGGCCGAGCGACGCCGCGUGUGGGAUGAAGGCCUUCGGGUUGUAAAUCGCUGUCAGUGGGGAGGAAAUGCCGGUGGGUUCUCCCAGCGGUUUGACCUAUCCGCAGAGGAAGGACGGGCUAAGUUCGUGCCAGCAGCCGCGGUAAGACGAACCGUCCAAACGUUAUUCGGAAUCACUGGGCUUAAAGGGUGCGUAGGCGGCUCUGAAAGUUGGGUGUGAAAGCCCUCGGCUCAACCGAGGAAUUGUGCCCAAAACUACAGAGCUAGAGGAAGACAGAGGUGAGCGGAACUUAGGGUGGAGCGGUGAUAUGCGUUGAGAUCCUAAGGAACACCAGUAGCGAAAGCGGCUCACUGGGUCUUUUCUGACGCUGAGUGCACGAAAGCUAGGGGAGCGAAGAGGAUUAGAUACCCUCGUAGUCC